CCGUGGGUUUAUGCGGCUGAACUCGGUCGUUUGCAACAGAGGCAUGACGCGGGUUUUUAGAGAUGAGGACAGAGCGUCCUGUCCAAAGGGGUGAAGACCAGUACCUGUCCGGCCGUGUACUGGACUGUGGUGUUUGUGAGGGCCAGCUUGAAUGAGAAGACGUACAGGGUGAUGCAGCCUUUUCAAGACGUAAAGAAUCGGAUUGAUAUCAGUAUCGCCUGCUAGCAAAAGAUGCGGUAUCGGUAUCGGAAGUGGAAAAAGUGGUAUCGGGACAUCCCUAGUCCUAGUCUGACUCCUUCUGGCACAAUGGCUCGGAUUAGAAAUCCCUCAUCAGCAAGUAUGAGAUCACCUGACUUGAAGACCUCCAGGAUUCCACGAUGGCCUUGUCAGAACCCGAUCCAGGAUACAAUUUGCUGCAGACACAUACGUAAACAUACACACCCAUACACAAUCAAAUACACAGAUGUACACACACAGAAGCAUGUUGUGGCAGUGCAAGUACCAUUUUUCCAGGAAUUGUAAGAAUUCUGGUUAAAUCUGUAGAUGUAAAACUAUAGGACACAGUUUACAAAUAAAGGUCAUUUUUCCUUGGAAUGCAAUUUUCUUUCCAUGUCAAUAUAAUAAUUACUAAUCAUUGAGCUGAAUGGGACUAAUAGCUUCACACUAAUGUAUCCCAUUAUCUAUUGAAUGCUGUUGAAUUAUAUUAAUGUCAUUAAUGUUUUGAUUGAUAUUGAAUAUGUUGGCAUGACUAGUACAGAAAUAUGUUGGACAAUGAAGCAAGAAGGCAGCCUUUCCCACAAACCACUUUUAUUUUUUCCCCAAACAGACGUCUGAACCUUCCUUGCUCGGGAUCAGAAAGUUAACAUAAUAUAUA